rnacentral:tRNA from 1 species
GGUGAGAUGGCCGAGUGGUUAUGGCGCUGCGUUCAGGAGAUCUGAACAAAUUUCGCAGUGGAGCAAUCCGCGUGGGUUCGAGUCCCACUCUCAUCA